UAUUUAAAUAUUUGUUAAAUGUUAGUUGGGUUGAGAUCCACGAAUUACUGUUGGGAAGAAAGUGUUUUGAGACGAUGCAGGAAAGUCGGAGAUACAGUUGGCAGCGGGAAGUAAUAGGACAUGCAAUAUGCAUCAUGGACGAAACUACCCUUUGUGUUGUGCAUGUUACAUGAUCCCUUCUCGUUGAUGUUUCAGUUUGUUACGCGCGAAGUGAAAGAAGUAACAAGAAUGAUACCAGAGCAAUGGGCAUCUCCAUGUGGUGGCCAAUGCAACAACAAAUACGCAGCACUCACCCAAAUCCCAUGGAGAGUAUUCUGCAAAAAGGGUUGUGAUGCAGAUGGAGACACAUGGGAAGAAUGUUUGGAGGAGUGCAAUCAAUUAUGCUACAAGGACCCUGUACUCGAGAACCAGAAGUGGAGUGCGUAUAUUGAUCGUUCUCCUGGAUCUGAAAGUUAUUCUGAGGCAAUUUAAUUUCCUUUUCUAGUUAUAUAUGUUACAACAUGCUUUGUCAUUUAAUUAAUAUUAAUAGGAUUAAUUCAUGUUUCCCUUCAUGUACAGGAAUGUUUCCAUGCUUGUGUAUCUGGCUGCAGUUACAGGUUUGAGGUUGAAGCAGAAAUAGCUGAUAAAGUUAUUCCUAAUAGGCCACCAAAGUCUGAGCCUGAGCCUCAGCCUGUAAAGAAGCAGAAGCCACAAUAUGAAGACCCUAAAUACCCGGAUACUUCUGCAUAGAUAGGAAUUAGUUUGAUGUUACAUCCUGCUAUUGUUAUAUGGAAUUUUCAUUGGUAGCAUAACUAGUGUGUAACCACUGCAUGCAUGGUUUUAUUUAAAGAUAGUUGGUUGAGCUAGGUUUGUAGUUUUCUAUCUGGUCAGUAACUUCAUGAAUCUCAGAUGAAAUCUUGGUGAAUAAUAGCAGCUUC